rnacentral:rRNA from 1 species
GAUGAACGCUAGCGGCAGGCUUAAUACAUGCAAGUCGAGGGGUAGCAAGAUUGUAGCAAUACAAUUGCUGACGACCGGCAAACGGGUGCGGAACACGUACACAACCUUCCUACAAGUGGGGAAUAGCCCAGAGAAAUUUGGAUUAAUACCCCGUAACAUAGCGAUGUGGCAUCACAUUGCUAUUAUAGCUUCGGCGCUUGUUGAUGGGUGUGCGGCUGAUUAGAUAGUUGGCGGGGUAACGGCCCACCAAGUCUACGAUCAGUAGCUGAUGUGAGGGCAUGAUCAGCCACACGGGCACUGAGACACGGGCCCGACUCCUACGGGAGGCAGCAGUAAGGAAUAUUGGACAAUGGACGCAAGUCUGAUCCAGCCAUGCCGCGUGGAGGAUUAAGGUCCUCUGGAUUGUAAACUUCUUUUAUAAGGGACGAAAAAAGGUCUUUCUAGAUCGUCUGACGGUACCUUAUGAAUAAGCACCGGCUAACUCCGUGCCAGCCGCCGCGGUAACAC